rnacentral:rRNA from 1 species
CCUACGGGUGGCAGCAGUCGAGAAUCAUUCACAAUGGGGGAAACCCUGAUGCUGCGACGCCGCGUGGGGGAAUGAAGGUCUUCGGAUUGUAAACCCCUGUCAUGUGGGAGCAAAUUAAAAAGAUAGUACCACAAGAGGAAGCGACGGCUAACUCUGUGCCAGCAGCCGCGGUAAUACAGCGGUCUCAAGCGUUGUUCGGAAUCACUGGGCGUAAAGCGUGCGUAGUCUGUUUCGUAAGUUGAGUGUGAAAGGCUGGGGCUCAACCCGCGGACGGCACAUGAUACUGAGAGACGAGAGUAAAGGAGGGGGAACCGGAAUGCUCGGUGUAGCAGUGAAAUGCGUAGAUAUCGAGAGGAACACUCAUGGCGAAGGCGGGUUCCUAGACAUUAACUGACGCUGAGGCACGAAGGCCAGGGGAGCGAAAGGGAUUAGAUACCCGAGUAGUC